rnacentral:rRNA from 1 species
UACGUAGGCAGCGAGCGUUGUUCGGAGUUACUGGGCGUAAAGCGUGCGUAGGCGGUUGUCUAAGUUUGGUGUGAAAUCUCCCGCUUAACUGGGAGGGUGCGCCGAAAACUGGGUGACUGGAGUGUCGGAGAGGUAAGCGGAAUUCCUGGUGUAGCGGUGAAAUGCGUAGAGAUCAGGAGGAACACCUGCGGCGAAGGCGGGUUGCUGGGCCGACACUGACGCUGAGGCGCGAAAGCUAGGGGAGCGAACGGG